rnacentral:rRNA from 1 species
CAAAGGAGCAAUCCGCUGAGAGAGGGGCUCGCGUCCCAUUAGAUUGAUGGCGGGGUAACGGCCCACCAUGUCAACGAUGGGUAGCCGAGCUGAGAGGCUGAUCGGCCACACUGGAACUGAGACACGGUCCAGACUCCUACGGGAGGCAGCAGUGGGGAAUAUUGGGCAAUGGGCGAAAGCCUGACGCAGCAACGCCGCGUGAGGGAAGAAGGUUUUCGGGUUGUAAACUUCUUUGAUGGGGGACGAAACAAAUGACGGUACCCCAAAAACAAGCAUCGGCUAACUCCGUGCCAGCAGCCGCGGUAAUACGGAGGAUGCAAGCGUUAUCCGGAUUCAUUGGGUUUAAAGGGUGCGCAGGUGGGAAAAUAAGUCAGUGGUGAAAUACUGCCGCUUAACGGUAGAAUUGCCAUUGAUACUGUUUUUCUUGAGUAUGGUUGAGGUAGGUGGAAUGUGUUGUGUAGCGGUGAAAUGCGUAGAUAUUAGGAGGAACACCAGUGGCGAAGGCGACUUCCUGGCUUGUAACUGACACUGAGGCGCGAAAGCGUGGGGAUCAAACAGGAUUAGAUACCCUGGUAGUCCACGCCGUAAACGAUGAGUGCUAGGUGUCGGGGGUAUCGACCCCCUCGGUGCCACAGCUAACGCAAUAAGCACUCCGCCUGGGGAGUACGGUCGCAAGACUGAAACUCAAAGGAAUUGACGGGGGCCCGCACAAGCGGUGGAGUAUGUGGUUUAAUUCGACGCAACGCGAAGAACCUUACCAAGGCUUGACAUCCUGUGACAGCUAUAGAAAUACAGUGUGCCUUCGGGGGCACGGAGACAGGUGGUGCAUGGUUGUCGUCAGCUCGUGUCGUGAGAUGUUGGGUUAAGUCCCGCAACGAGCGCAACCCUUAUUGCUAGUUGCCAUCAUUAAGUUGGGCACUCUAGUGAGACUGCCGGAGACAAUUCGGAGGAAGGUGGGGAUGACGUCAAAUCAUCAUGCCCCUUAUGUUCUGGGCUACACACGUGCUACAAUGGGUGUAACAACGGGAAGCAACAUCGCGAGGUGAAGCGAAUCCCAAAAUUCACCCUCAGUUCGGAUUGUAGGCUGAAACCCGCCUACAUGAAGUCGGAAUCGCUAGUAAUCGCAGGUCAGCAUACUGCGGUGAAUACGUUCCCGGGCCUUGUACACACCGCCCGUCACACCACGAAAGUCU